rnacentral:lncRNA from 1 species
AUGUCUGGAGGAGGAGGAAGCUCAGGUCACGGAGGAUCCAGUUAUGGCAGCGGUGGGUGCAUUGGUGGAGGAGAAGGGGGUUCAGGAUAUGGAGGAAGCUCCAGCAGGAGAGGAUCCAUGUCUGGAGGCGGUCACAGCUCCGGUGGAUAUGGAUCUGGCAGUGGCAGGUGCAGCCCCCACAGCAGUGGGAUCAGCUCUGGAGGUUGGAGCAGUUCUGGCAGGAGAGGCUCCAUGUCUGGAGGAGGAGGAAGCUCAGGUCACGGAGGAUCCAGUUAUGGCAGCGGUGGGUGUGUUGGUGGUGGAGAAGGAGGUUCGGGUUAUGGAGGGAGCUCAGGGUAUGGAGGUGGCUCUGGCAGGAGAGGCUCCAUCUCUGGAGGUGGCCACAGCUCUGGUGGUGGUGGGAGCAGUUCUGGAGGAGGAAUCAGCUCAGGGUAUGGAGGAAGUGGAGGACUGAGCUCUGCUGGGGAAGGAGGCUCAGGGUACGGAGGGAGCUCAGGGUAUGGAGGUGGCUCUGGCAGGAGAGGCUCCAUCUCUGGAGGUGGCCACAGCUCUGGUGGUGGUGGGAGCAGUUCUGGAGGAGGAAUCAGCUCAGGGUAUGGAGGAAGUGGAGGACUGAGCUCUGCUGGGGGCAUUGGUGGAGGAGAAGGGGGUUCAGGGUAUGGAGGAGGCUCAGGGUACGGAGGAAGCUCCAGCAGGAGAGGAUCCAUGUCUGGAGGCGGUCACAGCUCCGGUGGAUAUGGCUCUGGCAGUGGCAGGUGCAGCCCCCACAGCGGUGGGAUGAGCUCUGGAGGUUGGAGCAGUUCUGGCAGGAGAGGCUCCAUGUCUGGAGGAGGAGGAAGCUCAGGCAGGAGAGGCUCCAUGUCUGGAGAAGGAGGAAGCUCAGGCUGGGGGGGAUCUAGUUAUGGCAGUGGUGGGUGCAUUGGUGGGGGAGAAGGAGGCUCAGUGUGUGGAGGAGGGUCUGGAUAUGGGGGAGGCUCAGGGUACAGAGGAGGAAGCUCAGGCUGGAGAUCAGUCUCUGGAGGAGGAGGAAGCUCCAUCACCAGAGGUUGGGGAUCAAGCUCUGCUGGCACCUGCAGCCCUGGCAGGGUGGGGGAAGGAGGUUGGGAUUGCUCUGGAGGGGACAGUUAUUAUGGAAGUGGGACCUACGGAGAUUGCACACCCAGCUGCCAAGAAGAGACUGAGGAAUGCAGCUCAGGAGGAGGAUGGUCUUCUCCAAGACCAGGUUACUGGUCUGCCUAUGGAAGUGGCUCAGGUUCCUCUGGGGAUGCUGCCCACAAGUAAAACUUGGAAGCAAAAUCUCACCAGUGGAACAGGAUGAAGCCGUUGCCUCAUUGUUGGGGCAGUGGGACUUUCCUGCUGUCACCACUGGUCUGGACGGGCUGUGUGCCAUCCUGAGCUCUCCCUGCACAACCACCCCUGGAGUCUCCAUCCCACUCCUCUGCUGGAUGCUGAUAUUGUGACGGUGUCCCUUCCUUGGGCUUUCUCAGAACUUUUAGUCCCUGGCUGUCUGGAACCUUUAUCUUUGGCAACUAAAAGCUUGAAACGCUGUCUGGUAUGUUUGUUUUGGUCUGGGGGAGGGCAGGACUCUGAUGUCUCUGAUGAGAUGUUUGAUAUAACUUCCCAUGUAAACGAAUUCAUGGAAAUCUGAUCCAGGAAAAAGCUCCUGGAAAAAUUGAAAAAGUGGAAGAAAGUGGCUGGAAAAGAAUGACAAAUGCAGAUUGUCUGCUGUAAAAAUGGUGUUUAGGGUCAAGUCCUUUAGGUCUGGUCUGACCAGUCAGCCAGGACAUGUGGCUACACCUCAUAUCCAUCAUUCCCUCCAGGAGUCACUCAUUAAGUAAUUUGGGGGCAGAUCCUCUGUAUUGCUUUUCUGGGGGCACUGCAGCUGCAGAUGAAGAAAGGAGCAGAAAGUCUGGGAAUAACAGUGUCUCAUCUCACUUUUGGUUCAAGUUAAGGUGAGAUGGGGUGUAUCUGAGGAAAUAUUUCUUGGCCAACGUCUGAUUUUGGAGUUGUCGUGUGCAGGGUCAUGAGUUGGACUCAAUGAUUGUUGUGUGUCACUUCCAACUCAGGAUAUUCCACGAUUCUAUCAUCUUAUUCAGUGGUGAUUUUUAUCACAGGAAGCAAGAUACUCUCCAAAUUUCUUCCAGAACCUCCUUGAAGUCCAAUCAAAAGUUCUAACAAAGCACAGAGCAGCUGAUUUGAUGUCAAAAGUUUGUUCAAGAAGCUCAGUUUAAUAAUGUCACCCUUGUUUAGCAACAAUCCACUGAGAUAACUGGAGUGUCCCAAUCUCAUUAGGAAUAUUCCAUAUCGUUUCCCCAGCUGGUGGGAAGGAGGAUCCUCUCUUCCUGAAAGAAUUCCAACUGUGAAGAGUCCUGGAAGGAGCAGGAGGGUGAGGGGGAGAGACACAGAUUUCUGGGAAAUCCACUGUGGAGACUCUUUUGCAAAGGACUGUAGAGCCACAGAAACAACAAUGGAGUGUUAAUAGAAUUAUGGAACUAUUUUGAUUGAUCAUUAAUAGUAAUUUUCCUUCACUGGGGGCUCCAAGAGAGCUGGGGAGGGACUUGGAAAGAAGUGAUGGGACAAGGGUGGGUUAGGGGAUGGAAGAGGGGAGGGUUAGGCGGGUCAUUGAGAAGAAGCUCUUCCCUGUGAGAGUGGUGAGGCCCUGGAAUGGAUUUCCCAUCCCUGGAAGUGUCCAAGGCCAGGUUGGAUGGCACUUGGAGCAGCCUGGGAUCAGCGGAAGAUGCCCCUGCCCACGGCAGGGGGUGGAACAGGACGGACCCCAAGGUCCCUCCCACCCCAAUGCAUUCCGUGGUUCCAUGUGGAGCCACCAGGGGCUAAAUCAAACCCUUGCAGCAAAGUCUGGAAACACUUUGGAAUCUCUGCAUGGAGGGAGCUCCAGACACUGUAGUUCAGUCAAAACCGGCACCAGCUGCGUUCAGCUUCAUGGCUUUAAAGAGGCUUCAGGAUCCAGGAGAAACCUCAGGAUGCAAAUGAAAACCACUGCAUCGUCACAAUCCUGUUUUGAUCCAAGGGAUUAGGCGCUAAUUCAGGCAAAACCUCGUCUUUUAUGAUAAAAAGUGGAGUGAUUCUGCACAGUGUGGAGGGUCACAGGGCUUUGGUUUCACUGAUAAAUUAAUUGUGCAGCCAGGGUGUUUCUCAUCUCUAAUUGGAGGAA